AGAGUUUGAUCCUGGCUCAGGAUGAACGCCGGCGGUGUGCCUAAUACAUGCAAGUCGUACGCACUGGCCCAACUGAUUGAUGGUGCUUGCACCUGAUUGACGAUGGAUCACCAGUGAGUGGCGGACGGGUGAGUAACACGUAGGUAACCUGCCUCGGAGCGGGGGAUAACAUUUGGAAACAGAUGCUAAUACCGCAUAACAACAAAAGCCACAUGGCUUUUGUUUGAAAGAUGGCUUUGGCUAUCACUCUGGGAUGGACCUGCGGUGCAUUAGCUAGUUGGUAAGGUAACGGCUUACCAAGGCAAUGAUGCAUAGCCGAGUUGAGAGACUGAUCGGCCACAAUGGAACUGAGACACGGUCCAUACUCCUACGGGAGGCAGCAGUAGGGAAUCUUCCACAAUGGGCGCAAGCCUGAUGGAGCAACACCGCGUGAGUGAAGAAGGGUUUCGGCUCGUAAAGCUCUGUUGUUGGAGAAGAACGUGCGUGAGAGUAACUGUUCACGCAGUGACGGUAUCCAACCAGAAAGUCACGGCUAACUACGUGCCAGCAGCCGCGGUAAUACGUAGGUGGCAAGCGUUAUCCGGAUUUAUUGGGCGUAAAGCGAGCGCAGGCGGUUGCUUAGGUCUGAUGUGAAAGCCUUCGGCUUAACCGAAGAAGUGCAUCGGAAACCGGGCGACUUGAGUGCAGAAGAGGACAGUGGAACUCCAUGUGUAGCGGUGGAAUGCGUAGAUAUAUGGAAGAACACCAGUGGCGAAGGCGGCUGUCUGGUCUGCAACUGACGCUGAGGCUCGAAAGCAUGGGUAGCGAACAGGAUUAGAUACCCUGGUAGUCCAUGCCGUAAACGAUGAGUGCUAGGUGUUGGAGGGUUUCCGCCCUUCAGUGCCGGAGCUAACGCAUUAAGCACUCCGCCUGGGGAGUACGACCGCAAGGUUGAAACUCAAAGGAAUUGACGGGGGCCCGCACAAGCGGUGGAGCAUGUGGUUUAAUUCGAAGCUACGCGAAGAACCUUACCAGGUCUUGACAUCUUGCGCUAACCUUAGAGAUAAGGCGUUCCCUUCGGGGACGCAAUGACAGGUGGUGCAUGGUCGUCGUCAGCUCGUGUCGUGAGAUGUUGGGUUAAGUCCCGCAACGAGCGCAACCCUUGUUACUAGUUGCCAGCAUUAAGUUGGGCACUCUAGUGAGACUGCCGGUGACAAACCGGAGGAAGGUGGGGACGACGUCAGAUCAUCAUGCCCCUUAUGACCUGGGCUACACACGUGCUACAAUGGACGGUACAACGAGUCGCAAGCUCGCGAGAGUAAGCUAAUCUCUUAAAGCCGUUCUCAGUUCGGACUGUAGGCUGCAACUCACCUACACGAAGUCGGAAUCGCUAGUAAUCGCGGAUCAGCAUGCCGCGGUGAAUACGUUCCCGGGCCUUGUACACACCGCCCGUCA
rnacentral:rRNA from 1 species